rnacentral:lncRNA from 1 species
GUGUCUCUUCCCCUCCUGCCGAUGCCUCAAACAAAGACGCACCGUUUGUUCUAAACAAGGUCAUGCGGAAACAGUCUGUGACAAGGUGCCUUUGUUGGGGCGGCAACCUGCACACUGGAUGUAGUUGCACAACGCACGGCAGCCUGUGGUGUGUGUAGCAGGUUGGCAGGCCGACGCGUUGAGAUGUGCCGGGGUUUUUAUGUGUUUGAAAGAAAGGUGGCCGACGACUGUAGGCAGUUCUUUUCUAACCUAGAGGUUUAUUUCACUGGGAAAUGGUGUUUGUUUUAGUCGGUUCGAGAAGCAUGUUACCACCAGCGAGAGGAGACGCAGUGUGUGCUAUGUGGCGGCAUCGUAAGCUCGCAUAGGCCCGGGCUCCGCGAACGAGACGUUCCUUUCCAGCAAGUCCGUGUUGUGGAAAACAGCCACACACCUUUCACUGUGGACAGCACAUUUUUUCUGUGGAGCCAUUUCGAGCGUUGCCUGGUGGAUCACACGGGGGCUGCACACGUCCAAAACUCCCGUAGGACGAUCCCGGCGUGAAGUGUUGUCGCUAGCGGUUAGUGUGUGCCGCGCUUGAAACAGCUGCGUCCGCUGCGAUGUUGUCAGGUCUCAACGGUGUUUUCCAGAGCUCUAUUGACGUCCAGUGCUGGAGUACCACGACACUUUGGAGCUUCGCCGUAAAGAAAGUCCCG